UUUGAUCAUGGCUCAGAAUGAACGCUGGCGGCGUGCUUAACACAUGCGAGUCGAACGAGAAAGGUCUCUUCGGAGACCGAGUAGAGUGGCGCACGGGUGAGUAACACGUGGAUAAUCUACCUUCGAGAUUGGGACAACCAUUCGAAAGGAUGGCUAAUACCGUAUAAAGUAUAUUGUUAUCAAGAUGAUAUAUGAAAGACAGCCUCUGUAUAUGCUGUUGCUUGGAGAUGAGUCCGCGCACCAUUAGCUAGUUGGUGGGGUAAUGGCCUACCAAGGCAUCGAUGGUUAGCUGGUCUGAGAGGAUGAUCAGCCACACUGGAACUGGAACACGGUCCAGACUCCUACGGGAGGCAGCAGUGAGGGAUUUUGCGCAAUGGGGGAAACCCUGACGCAGCAACGCCGCGUGAGUGAAGAAAGUCUUUGGGUCGUAAAGCUCUGUCAACAGGGAAGAAGUUAUUAUACUUUAAUAGAGUAUGGUAUUGACGGUACCUGUGAAGGAAGCACCGGCUAACUCCGUGCCAGCAGCCGCGGUAACACGGGGGGUGCAAGCGUUAUUCGGAAUUAUUGGGCGUAAAGGGCGCGUAGGCGGUUUUGUCAGUCAGAUGUGAAAGCCCGGGGCUCAACCCCGGAAGAGCAUUUGAAACAGCAAGACUUGAGUACGGGAGAGGAAAGCAGAAUUCCUGGNGUAGAGGUGAAAUUCGUAGAUAUCAGGAGGAACACCGAUGGCGAAGGNAGCUUUCUGGACCGAUACUGACGCUGAGGCGCGAAGGCGUGGGUAGCGAANAGGAUUAGAUACCCUGGNANUCCANGCAGUAAACGAUG
rnacentral:rRNA from 1 species